CCCCUAGAUGUUCUGGGCCGCACGCGCGCUACACUGAACAGUUCAACAAGUCUUAACCUUGGCCGAUAGGUCUGGGUAAUCUUUGAACGCUGUUCGUGAUUGGGAUAGACCUUUGCAAUUAUGGGUCUUCAACGAGGAAUUCCUAGUAAACGCAAGUCAUCAGCUUGCAUUGAUUACGUCCCUGCCCUUUGUACACACCGCCCGUCGCUCCUACCGAUUGGAUGAUCCGGUGAGCUAUUCGGACCUUCGCUUCGUCGAUUUUCGGCUUUGUGAGGGAAAGUCUCGCGAACCUUAUCAUCUAGAGGAAGGAGAAGUCGUAACA
rnacentral:rRNA from 1 species